UACGUAGGGGGCAAGCGUUGUCCGGAAUCAUUGGGCGUAAAGAGCGUGUAGGCGGUCCGGUCAGUCGGUUGUGAAAGUCAAGGGCUCAACCCGUUGAAUGCCCGGGCCGAUACUGCCGGGCGUAGGAGUCCGGAAGAGGUGAGUGGGAAUUCCCGGUGGUAGCGGUGAAAUGCGCAGAUAUCGGGAGGAACACCGGUGGCGAAGGCG
rnacentral:rRNA from 1 species